rnacentral:rRNA from 1 species
UACGUAGGGUGCGAGCGUUGUCCGGAAUUACUGGGCGUAAAGAGCUCGUAGGUGGUUUGUCGCGUUGUUCGUGAAAACUCACAGCUCAACUGUGGGCGUGCGGGCGAUACGGGGCAGACUGGAGUACUGCAGGGGAGACUGGAAUUCCUGGUGUAGCGGUGAAAUGCGUAGAUAUCAGGAGGAACACCUGCGGUGUAGACGGCUUACUGGACCGUAACUGACGCUGAGGCACGAAAGCGUGGGUAGCAAACAGG